rnacentral:tRNA from 1 species
AGUUAUUUUGGCAGAAAUAUGCGCUAGAUUUAGGAUUUAGUUAUAUAGAAUACUAUAAAUAACAAAAUAAUUAAGUCUAAUUAUUUUGUG